AUCGAAUUAGGUUAUCUUACCA
rnacentral:siRNA from 1 species